ACCAGCAUUGGCAGCCCAGGCAGCGGGUACGGGAUAUGCCUGUGGUCUUCCGUUAUUGCCCUCCAGUUUUCUUGUAUACAACCCCUUCUGCAUUAUCUGUAACUACGUUUGUACAGGUUUACAGUCCGGAUACCGUCCGUGUUAGUGGCAACAGUGUAUGAAAGUACUGUCACCUUCCGUGGCAAAGUUGCCAUCGAUCUCAACCAGCUUUUUCAUUCUACGUGUACUGUUUUUGCCCGAAGACCCGGUGCCACAGGGGAAUAGGACAGAAUAAACAACACCAAAGCACAGCCAAUGGGAACAACACGAUCCGCCGUUUUUCUUGCGGGGUACUUCCGCGACAUGGGCCGUAGACCCAAGCGUCCGUUGAGGACACACUCAUCAAUCACACGGCGUUGGUUUGGAUAAGUUCUCUCUAUCCAAUUAACUUCCAUUUAUUUCGGAUACGUGGAUAUUGCCAUGACAUCAAUCCAUUAGGGGGCCGUGCAAAGGGUCUUGGGGUCUCUAGGGCAAGUUCAACAUUUUUCUUCAAAAGUCAUCCCUUUGGAGCUGAAGAAGACCGGGCGGGGCGUUGCUUUGGGCGGGAGGCGGGACGUGACAGAUGUAUUCAUUUCUAUUUCAUUAUUUAGCCGGAGAAGAGGAACUCGAUGGUCUCUUGAUGCGAUCAUUGUCACCCAUUGCACCACACCAGUUUCAUAGCUGCUGCCUCGGGAUGAGAUUGCUAUUAUUAGGUAUCUGUUCAGUCUGAAGGUCUGUGUAGAAAGGAACACAUAAUCAACAUAUAGUCCAUGCCGGAAUGAUGGCGGAGUUGUCCGGGGCAUCGGUUGAUUUACACAACGCCAUUGACAUGGCGAGAGAAGACAGCUACUGCAGGGAUCUGAUGGUGGGUUGUCCUAGUAUUUUGAGGACGAUCAAAUCAAAAAGAAAACGCCAGCUGCUGUCC
rnacentral:sRNA from 1 species